AUGAAAGUCCACUUGUUUGGUGCAGCAUCGUCACCUGGCUGUGCCAACUAUGGGCUGAAGCAUGUCGCUGCUGAAGGACAAGGAAACUUUAGUGACGACACCAUAAAGUUCAUUCAACGGAACUUCUACGUGGAUGAUGGAUUGUCAAGUGUAGCAUCCGAAGACCAAGCGAUCCAACUGGUGAAAGAAGCAAGAGAACUUUGCAGCACAGGCAAACUCCGGCUGCAUAAGUUUAUCUCUAAUAGCAAGAAGGUCCUAGACGCAAUCCCAAAAGAAGAAUGUGCUGCAGCUGCCAAAGACAAGGACAUGGCACUGGGUGAACUGCACAUGGAAAGAGCACUCGGUGUGCAGUGGUGCGUGGCUUCUGAUGAGUUCCAGUUCAGAGUAAUCGUCAAGGAGAAUCCACUUACUCGAAGAGGAGUCCUGUCCACAGUCGCUUCAGUCUACGACCCUCUUGGAUUUGUGGCACAGUUCAUCUUGUUGGGAAAGCAGAUCCUGCAGCAGAUGUGUCGUGACAAGCUCAGUUGGGAUGACACCUUACCUGAUGACCUACGACCUCUGUGGGAAAGCUGGCUUCAAGACCUGCGGAAUCUAGCCGAGGUGAAGAUUCCAAGAUGCUACGUUCCAUCAAGCUUCAAGGUCCAACACUACGAACUCCACCAUUUCGCCGAUGCCAGUGAGUCAGGCUAUGGAGAGUGCUCGUACCUCAGAGCAGUGAGUACGUCAAGUGAAGUCCACUGUUCCUUUGUAAUGGGAAAGUCGAGAGUCGCUCCUACUAAGGUCACAACCAUACCAAGACUCGAGCUGUCAGCAGCAGUGGUAGCUGUCCGCACCAGUGACAUGCUCAAGAAAGAACUGGAAAUAGAAUGCCUACAAGAAGUCUUCUGGACUGAUUCAAGAGUGGUCCUUGGUUACAUCAAUAAUGAAGCCAGAAGAUUUCACGUGUUUGUGGCAAAUCGUGUGGAACGCAUCAAGCAAAGCACAGAGUCUACACAAUGGAAGUAUGUGGCUUCAGAAGAUAAUCCAGCAGACUACGCCUCAAGAGGUCUCACAGCAGAGCAACUGGUAUCCUCUAACUGGUUCACAGGCCCAGACUUUCUUUGGCAGAAGGAGUUACCAAGUGGAGAUGUCAAGGUGGGAGAGAUCACAUAUGACGAUCCUGAGCUUAAGAAGGUCCAGGUUCUCGACACCCAGGCGAAAGAAGUCAAGUCGCUGCUAGAUCGCCUACACAAGUUUUCAGACUGGUCCAAAAUGGUGAAAGCUAUCGCCAGACUCCAGCGCCAUGUGAAAGAAAUUAAAGGGCUUCAGCCAAAGUCCUGUGAAGCCUGCAGUUUGGAGGAAAGGAGAGAAGCGGAGUUGACAAUAAUCAAGAUGGUUCAAGAAGCAACCUUCUCACAAGAUAUACAGUUACUCCAAAGUGACAAGGAGACGCCAGUCAAGGGCAAAGCCAAUAAGUUGCACCGGUUAAGUCCAUUCCUGGAUGACCAAGGUGUCCUCAGAGUUGGAGGCCGCUUAACUCAUGCUGCCCUACAUCCACAGGUGAAGCAUCCAGCGGUCCUUCCAAAGGACAGUCAUGUGUCAAAUUUACUUGUCAAGCACUAUCAUGAAAGAGUGUACCAUCAAGGACGAGGAAUGACCAUGAAUGCGCUCCGAUCUAAUGGCAUAUGGAUACUGGGCUGCAGCAAGGCUGUAUCAUCCCAUAUCUACAAGUGCACUAAGUGCAGGAAGUUCAGAAGAUGCACUGAACAGCAGAAAAUGUCAGACCUUCCAGAGGACAGAAUGGAAACAGCUCCUCCAUUCACCUACUGCGGUAUGGACUGUUUUGGACCAUUCUACGUAAAGGAAGGAAGGAAAGAGCUAAAGCGUUAUGGAUUGUUACUUACCUGCAUGUGUUCCAGAGCGGUUCACGUUGAGAUGCUUGACGAUAUGACCACGGAUGCCUUCAUUAACGCAUUGCGUUCAUUCAUCGCCAUUCGUGGAAAGGUACGUCAGAUAAGAAGUGAUCAAGGAACAAACUUCGUCGGAGCAAGACGAGAGUUUGCUGAAGCAUUGAAAGAAAUGGAUCAGGAAGAGCUCAAGCAGCUUGGAUGUGAGUUCAUCAUGAACACCCCAGCUUCAAGUCAUAUGGGUGGCGUCUGGGAAAGACAAAUUCGCACCAUAAGAAGUGUCUUGACGUCCAUUCUAGAACAGUCAGCUACGCAGCUUGACUGCUCCUCUCUAAGAACGUUCCUGUAUGAAGUCAUGGCAAUAGUGAACAGUAGACCUCUGAGCACUGAUUGUCUAAAUGAUUCAUCCAGUCCAGAGCCCCUGACACCAAACCACAUUUUGACCAUGAAGUCCACGAUACUCGCUCCACCUCCUGGGAAGUUCGUCAAGGAAGAUCUAUACCUACGCAAGAGAUGGCGUCGAGUUCAAUUCUUAUCCAACCACUUUUGGACAAAAUGGAAGAAGGAGUACCUCCUGAGCCUCCAACAGAGACAGAAGUGGACCAAAGAUCGCAGGAAUGCAAAGGUCGGCGAUGUUGUACUCCUGCAAGAUGAUACUACACCACGUAACCAGUGGAGGAUGGCAAAGGUUAUCGAAGUGUACCCAGGAAAGGAUGGGAAGGUGCGAAGACUCAAGUUGCUCAUCAGCGACUCAACCCUUGAUGAGAAAGGAAAGCGUAUCUCCAAACCUGUCCACCUGGAAAGGCCCAUCCAUAAGACGGUGACGCUGAUGGAAGCAGACUGA
rnacentral:lncRNA from 1 species